rnacentral:lncRNA from 1 species
GGAGCCCUGGCACCCCCCUUGUGGGCACAGUGAUGUGGCACAGAGGGGGUUCUGUGCCUGCUCCUCGUGUGCAGUCCAGCCCCAGGCACCUCAGCUUGUGCAAGAGGGACCUUCCUCCCACAGGGACAGGCUGGGGGAGUGGAGCAGUUCCCAUUCCCAUUCCCAGUGUUGCCAUUCCCACUCCUGUUACUAUUCCCAUUCCCAUUCCCUUUCCCACUCCUGUUCCUGUUCCCACUCCCAUCCCCAUUCCCAUUCCCUGUGUUCCCGUUCCCUGAGCUGAUCUGUCAGCUCCAAUCCCUCCUCACAGACCAAACCAUCCCUGACGUUUCUCCCUGAGCGCCGCUCCUGCCUUGUGGCUCUCCCGAGGGCAGAGCAGGGCAGGGCCAAGGGGGCACAGGGGACACCAGGCAGCCCCGGGUGCCCCAGAUGGACGGGGCAGCGCUGGAGCAGGAGCUGUUCCCUUCUCCAGGCUGAUAUUCCCAAAAUCAAGGUUAUGAGCGAUAAAGCCGGGCUGAAAUCUGAGAUUUGUAUUAAUUUAUUUAUUUUAAAAGCAGCCCUGCAGCCCGGGCUCUCCCUGUGCUCCCUGAUAUCUCCGGUUCCCUGCCGGCUCCUGGGACAGAGCCAAGUGUGUCACGUCCCCACCUUUCCCUUGCCUUGGGGACAGGGACAGCCCCUCCUGCCACACUGGUGCCCUGGGCACUGCUCCGUGCCAGGCUGGCAGCAGAGGAGAGCAGAGCAGACACGGAGCCAGGUCUGUGCCCCCUGCCCUGUCCUGUGCCCGGGGCACCCCCCUGGAGGGGUCCCUGUGCCAGGGCAGGGCUUUCCAUGGGCGCUGCAGGAGCCACACUCCAGGUGGGACCAUGGUGGAAAGGUUUGGGUUGGAAGGGGCUGGAAAUUCCAUCGAGUUCCAGGCUGGAAAAGCAGCUGCACCCAGCCAGGGGAUGGAUUCCUGGGCAAGAAACCCAUCCUCAUUCCCUGGCACUGCCAGCCAGGAGAGGGCUCCAGCUGGGACCGGGGAGAGGCUGCACCGAGGACCUGCUGCCCACGGUGCCCACCUGGCCCAGGUGCCAGCAGGGAGGGGCAGAGCAUCCUGCCAGGGCCCUCUGGGUACCUGCUCUGCCCUGGNUUGAGGAGCUGUGAAGAGCUGCGGGAGCUGGCGCUGGCGCGGGGCAGUUCCCACCGCCCUCAAUGGGCUCUUUGUGCGCCGCCGGAGAAGCUGAAUCCAAUUACCGGCAGAGGCCAAAAACAGCGUCCCCGCCAGCCCCGGGGGCAGCGCGGCCUCGGCAGCGCUCAGGAACCUUUUGUGUGAGGUUUUGUUUUGUUUUCGCAAGAGGCAGAAACCCCCCAGCGAUGCUGCAGCAGUCCCAGCCUUUAAAUCCUUUCGGGAUGCAAAUGCUUUGGGGAUGUGCUCGAUGCUGCAGCCGUCCCAGCCUUUAAAUGCUUUCGGGAUGUGAAUACUUUCGGGAUGUGCUGGCCAGCAUUCCCUAAAGAGCACUGGGAAAGCACCAGGAAAGCGCUGGAAAUCACAGAAUUAUUCAGGCUGGGAAAGACCUCUGAGAUCACCGAGUCCACACUGUGCCCCAUUCCCCACCUUGUCCCCAGCCCAGAGCUCUGAGUGCCACCUCCAGCCCUUCCCUGGGCACUCCAAACCCGCCUGGGCAGCCCCUGCCAAUGCCAGGCCACCCUCUCCAUGUGGAAAUUCCUCCUGAGAUCCCCUGGCACAGCUCAGUUCACUCAGUUGGGAUGGCCAAGUAAAGCCAUCUUUUCUAAGAGAUCUUGGAAAUCAGGAUUCCCAAGGAUUUAAGGUUUAAGAAAUUAGGAUUUCUUCUUUUUAAGGUUCAAGAAAUUAGGAUUUCUUCUCUUUAAGGUUUAAGAAAUUAGGAUUUCUUCUCUUUAAGGUUUAAGAAGUUAGGAUGUAAGGAAUUGGAGCCCUUGGGCUGAGCUGAGGGGGUGCCCCUGCAGCCCCUGUGACACUCAGAGUGUGGCAGAGGGGCAGGAUUGGGACAGGGAGGACAGAGAGGGUUCAGAACUGGGCAGUGCCAGCACUUUGUGCCCCCAUGUCAGGGCACAGGCCGAUCCUGCUCUUCUUCCUGCAGCUUGAAUGCAUUUGCUUUAUAUUGGGGCCAUUCCCUCUCAUUUCAGGGAGCAGAGCCCGACCCCAUUGAAUUUUGGGGCUGUUGGGAGCUGUCCCCUGUCACUGUAGGACACAUGGGGAUGU